CACCUGGGGGUCAGUUGGGGGGGGGGCGGGGGGAGGAGCCCUGCUGGGCCAGGAAGGAACAGCCAGGCGGGGAGAUAAGCCGUCUCCCGGGACAGCAGCAGGCGGGCCUCCCCUAAUCUGCAGCCAGAUGGAGCCAUGCCAGACCCCUGACGAGGCUCGAGGCCUCGGCGCGAAGGAAGAGGAAGCUGCUUGGUGCCUGGGAGCACACCUCUCAAUGCAGUCUCACCUGAGGAUGUCUGUUGAAGAACAAUUAAAAACCAUAGCUUCCUGCAAAACCAGUGGGGACCUCGGUCCUAAUGGGCGCGUGUGGGCAGACAAGUGCUUCAAGGCAGUUCACAGCAGCCAAUGAAACAGCCCAAUGUCCAUCGGCAGGUGGACGGACACACACAAAAGGUGGACGUCCACUGCGAAAGGUUCAUGCCCCUCGGCUGCGAGCAGGAGCCAGGCGCCCACCCCCGCCACCCCGCGGACAGACCCUGAACACACGACGCUCAGGGAGGGAACCAGACGCGAGGCGCCACACGGGGGUGUGAGUCCAUGUGUGCGAAACGUCCAGAACAGGCUCAUCCACGGACGGAAGGGGGUUCGUGGGGGGGGGGGGGCUGGGCGGUGGGGCGUGACUGUGUGGGGACAGAGUUGCUUUCUGGGGAGAUGGAAUGUUCCAGAGGUGCUGGUCACACAACCCGGUGAAUGUACGAACACCCACUGAAUUACACACUCUGGAUGUUCAGCAUUUGCAGGCCCGGCCCCGAAGCGCCCUGGUGGGGGCCCACCCCGGAGGGUCAGCGCCCAGCCUGCCAUGUUGCACUGGGCUCCCGUGGGCACUGGGCCAAGGCCAGGAGCCUCUGAUCCUGCUACAGGUGACAGGAAGGGGUAGAGGCCAGCAUGAAACCUAGGCUGGGUCCAGCGGCACUAGAAACAAGCGCUUUCCAUGGGACCCGAGGGGCAGCCGUCCUUGCCGCCAGGAGAGAAAGCCUUCAUGAUCCCACGGCUGAGAGGCGGCAGGUUCGUGAGGACCUCUUGUGAGCACUGGGAUCCAGCUGUGCCUGACGCUUGUGUCCUCCCAGACUCUGCAUUACAGGAGGCAACAGGGGCCUUUUGGUUACCCGAACCAGUGUAGUCUGGGGUCUUUGGUGCUGGCUCCAGGGUGGGUUCAUCUGGGGGCUUCACCAUGGCGUGCAGGCCCCGGGUUCCUCUGGUGUGGACUUUGCCACCCUCGUGGGUCAGCUCUGCCCCUGUGGCUAGGUGGGAGGCACAGUCCUGAGCGCAUGAGGACUGCCCCCCAGCUCUGCACAGGCGGGCUCUAGCUUUCUGCAGCGAGACCGGUAUGGGCGAGGAGUGGGGGGCAGACCCUGUGGUGAUGUGAAUCUCAAGGGUGUUGCCCCUGGGGAGAGAGCCAGGUUAGGGGCAGGGGCCCCACCCCCUCCUGUGACGUUGCUACCUCAGCUCUGAGGCCCCAGACACCUGAUGUUACUAGCCUAGCAGUGGCCCCAAAGUCCCCGUUUCCUGAGAGGUUCAAGUUGACAGUCAGGGGCCGUCCCCAUCUUGCUCUGGCUCCCACUCACCUGCACACAGGCCCCCAAGGCCAGCAGAGGGGCUACGGGCUCCCGUGGUGCCCAGGAAGUCAGCUCAGUGAAGACCGUGGUCUGGAACCUCUUCCGUGGGGAUUCUCCAAAGCAGCUCUCACCCUCUGGACUUGCCGUGAUUAGCCUGUCAGCCUGGGUGGGCCCAAGGUGACAGGAGCACACCUGAGAACGAGGGCCACUCAGUGGAAGCUGAGCCUGGCAAGUGACGGUUUCUUCUUGCAGCUCUAGCGGAUUAACGGAUUACCACACAUUCAGGGCCUGAAGCCACACAAGCUUAUUCUUUAACAGCUAUGGGGCCAGAAGUAGGAAACGGGCCUCACGGGGCUAACGUCCGGGUGUGGGCAGUGCUGGCUCCCGUGAAGGCUCCAGGGGAGACCUGCACCCCUGCCUGCUCUGGCUCUCAGCUCUCUGGCUCUCAGGUUACGGGAUCAGGGCACGGACAUCUCUGGAGCUGUUAUUCUGGUGACCACAGGUCUGGGGAGAGACUGCACAGAACCAGUGCCUUGAUCAGGCUAUGCCUGAAAUCCCUGGCCUUGUCACUCACAGAAGCCAAUUAAAUUCCUUUCUGUUUAA